CAUCUUGCAAGCCACCAUCAACCAUUGUGCCUCCUUCACUGAACCUCCAAAUCAAAACCAAAAAUGCACUGUAAGACUACCUCAACCAAAUCACAAAUCCAACACGUGCACUGCAAACCAAAUGCAUAUUUGCACUUUAAGCUUUGUUCAACCUCUCACCAUCCAACAGAAACCCUAGAGCCACCAUGCCGUCAACCACAUCUUACAAGAAAAAUGUGUUUUACAUACAAAUUAUUACAUACGGAUCUUGAGCCGUAUGUAAAGGGCAUGUUACGUACGGAUCUUGAGCUCGUACCAUUUCUUCCUCACUCGCAACUCUCGAACCAUUUCUCGCUCACGAGCUACUCUCCCUAAAUCAUUGUUCUGGCCUCCCUAAAUCUCACCUUCAGUACGCUUUUCUCCUUCACUGCGUUUUGGCGGCGAUUGUCUGUCGUCGAGCCCUAUUUCUCCCUCGGUGGAGUCGUGGUUCUCUUUCGUCGAGCCGUCGAAGGUUGCGCACUCGAACCCUAUAUUUCCCUCAUUCGAACCAUCGCUGUGUGUCAUUUGUAUCGUGGUUAUUUGGCACAAAAUUGAUGUGCGAUUUGGUUCACCUAUAUGGGAUUCAUGUAUUGUUAGGAGAUUUUGAUUGAGCUGCGUUUGAGUGGAUGUAUAAUAGGUAUCAUCUAAGAGGGCAAAUGUCGGUGCAUCAACAUCUAAUCCCCUAGACCUUGCAGAGGAGAAAAGAUUGAGAAAUCGAUGUUGGUUAAAGACUACAAAUGGAAGAUACAAGGUUUGCAUAUACGAUAUUGAAAAUGUUAGUAGUUCUCAAGAUAACUGUGUCGACAAUUAUAUACGACUGGCAUAGGCAUCUUCUAGUCAGCAACCGAAUGUAGACGACAUUCAUAACCUCCAACUGAAUGUAGGUUCUUUUGUCAGAUGAUCUAGAUAAUUGUUGGACUAUUUGGUCUGAUUUGAUAAUUGUCAAACUUGUUU